UUUAUUGGAGAGUUUGAUCCUGGCUCAGGAUGAACGCUGGCGGCGUGCCUAAUACAUGCAAGUCGAGCGAAUGGAUUAAGAGCUUGCUCUUAUGAAGUUAGCGGCGGACGGGUGAGUAACACGUGGGUAACCUGCCCAUAAGACUGGGAUAACUCCGGGAAACCGGGGCUAAUACCGGAUAACAUUUUGAACCGCAUGGUUCGAAAUUGAAAGGUGGCUUCGGCUGCCACUUAUGGAUGGACCCGCGUCGCAUUAGCUAGUUGGUGAGGUAACGGCUCACCAAGGCAAU
rnacentral:rRNA from 1 species